rfam:Pteropus alecto contig93782, whole genome shotgun sequence.
GGCUCCAUAGUGUAGUGGUUAGCACAUCUGCUUUACAUGCAGACAGUCCUGGAUUUGCGCCCCAGGUGGAGCCA